rnacentral:rRNA from 1 species
AACUUUCAACAACGGAUCUCUUGGUUCUCGCAACGAUGAAGAACGCAGCGAAAUGCGAUACGUAUUGUGAAUUGCAGAUUUUCGUGAAUCAUCGAAUCUUUGAACGCACAUUGCACCCUCUGGUAUUCCAGAGGGUAUGCCUGUUUGAGCGUCA